AGCUCUUCACUGCAGCCAUCGAUUCUUAAGAAUUGCAAAGAGGGAAGGUAGGGUAUCAUCCCUUGAGAUUCAGAUUCGGAUAGCGACUUCAAUUCUCUGCAUAAAAUGACUUCUAAUUUCUGAAGAGAAUGCAUCCCCUGAUCAGGCAGUGGCAGAGACUUCAAUCUUGAGCAUCCCCAAAUCGAUAGCGAUUGGAGAGAAGAGAGAUUUUUCAGCCCUACUUCCGGAAGAGAUUCCAUGUCAUCAAUUGAAUACAUAUAUAGUCUCUUCAAUUUGGAGAGAGGACGGAUAAAUGAAGAAGAAGAAGAAGAAGAGACUGGUGAUGUCAUCUUCAUUGUCUGCUGUAAUGGCAUUGAACUAGAGAAGGCCAAUUGAAGAUCUUCAUCGAGAGUUGGAAACAACGGCAUUGAAGUCAGAUUUGAACAAUAAGAAAUGCCCAAGGAAGAAAGACGUGGAAAACAGAGCAUUCUCAACCCUUCUUCUAUUGUUGACUCAUCACUAUCAUCAUUCAUCUCAUCUCUACUCUUCUUCCACCAUCCCUUCAGUCUAGGACAAUCAAAGAUACGAAGUUCCUUUAACGAUUGGAAAAACGUCGACGCUCCUUUUCCUCCAACCCCCUCACUAUCUAUGUACUCCAAAUCAUCCAAUCCCUCAAUCCUUAAUUCUUCAAGAGAAGGGAUUCCAUCUAAGGGAGGGAUAUGCUUAAGUCUUCUACAAUUUCGUAGAUGAACCCUUACAAGAUUUGAGAGAUCUGAAAGCCAACUCGGAAACCUCAUACCUCCAUAGCCUUCAACUCUCAACUCUUGAAGACUCGAGUUUGGCUGGCGGCUUUGCAACAUUUUAUCAUACAAAUCAAUAUCUGAGUCACUAUCCAGCUCUGGGUCCCACUGUACGGUCAACGACUGAAGAUAUUCUUUAUCGAUCAAUUUAGCUCCUUCAAAUUCUGAUAUACAAGAACCCUCAUAUCCUUUGACUAUUAUUUCUAGCCUACCUCUCAAUUCAUUUAACAUUCUCAACUCAUCCAAUCCACCUAUCAUAUUAGAUUUAGGACUCCUAUUUCUUGCAACCACAAAACAUGACAAUGUCUGUAGACUAGUUAAUUUCCCAAUCCCACGAGGCAUAUACUCAAAAUUAUCACAUAAAUCAUGAUCAAGAGAGCAACCAACAUCAAGAUGCCUCAGAUUGAUCAGCUUGCCAAUAUCCCUAGGUAGUUUCUUAAGUUUCCUACAACCACUGAGUUUGAGCACUUGCAAAUUUACCAGACUGGUGACAGAAUUAGAAAGCGCCUCCAUCUCAUUAUUCGAAAGAUCAAGAUAUUUCAGAUGCUUGAGCUUUUGAAUGAGAGGUGACACUUCCUUCAUUACAAAAUCACUCAAAACAAGCACACGUAAACACCUAAACUCUCGACAAAUAGACUCCCAUGACCCCUCAUCCCAUUUUCCACCUUGCAAUAAUACAAGUGUUCUUAGACGUUGUGCACUAGGCAAAGACAAAUCUAAUUCCGUGUCAAAUGACACGUGCCGAGUCAAUUCACUAAUCCUAUUUCCUAGACGCUCCACUUUGAUGCUCUGAAAACCAGCGACAUGGGUUGCAAGAUCAUGCAUAAAAUCAUGCAUUUUGCAACUUUCUAUGUUCCCCAAUCUAUCCUUUUUCACUUCGUGGAAGAAGGACCUCCACAAUAAAUUCUCAAAGCACCUAAGACCAACAAUUUCUAAGCACUCACCCAAAUUCGAAGAGCUAACAAACCCUUGUGCAACCCAAAGUCGAAUCAAUGAUUUUACAUCUAUUUCAUGACCUUUCGGGAAUAAGCUACAGUAUGCAAAGCAAUGCUUCAUAUAUGAUGGAAGAGGAUCGUAGCUUAACUUAAGGGUAUGUAUGAUGUUAUCAUCUUUGACCCUAUUUGGAAGUUCUUGUUUGAUGAAGGACAACCACUGGACUCUAUCUUUAUAAUACAUUAACCUUGCAAUUGCCUUUAUGACCAAAGGAACUCCCUGACACCUCACUACAAUCUCUUUUUUUAUUUUUUCGUCUAUGUAAUUUGACUCUUGACCUGGACCAAAAGCCUUGUUCGAGAAAAGAGACCACGAGUCCUUUUCAGAAAGGCCUUUUAACGCAAGUGGUAUUUUGCUUGUUAAAUUUGCAAUUGUAUCAGAACGUGUAGUUAUUAUCAUCUUGUUUCCUCUAUCAGUCUCAUGUGGUAAGGACUGCUUCAAACUAUCCCACUUUUCACCAUCUCGACCAUCCUUAUUAUCCCACACAUCAUCUAAUACAAGCAGGUAUUUUCUAUUUUCUAUUUUUUUCUUAAGUUCAUUUUUCAGACUCUCUAACUGAUCAGAAACUUGACUAAUACCUGCAGCCUCUGAUACAUCUUUGAGUAUCUUUUUGACAUCAAAACCACCCGAGACACUGACCCAGAGUUUCAGACCAAAAUGCAAAUUAACUUGUUCAUCAUUGAAAAUACUCUGAGCAAAUGUGGUCUUUCCCAACCCGCCCAUUCCAACUAUUGAGAUGACAGAAACACUCUCAAUCUUAUCGUUGGGAUUCAACAGAAAGCUCAUAACUUUCUUUUUUUCAUCUUCUCUCCCGAAAAAUAUCUCAGGUUCAGAAGAGGUAGUUGCCUCUCUAAUCAUAGUCAAAGAAGCUUUCUCCUCAUAACGAACCUCAAAGUGAAAUUUUUCACUCUCAGAAACAAUCUCAUCUAGCCUCUGCCUAAGUUCCUUAACUUUAUGACCCAUCUGCCAACCAUACACAAGUUGGUUUGACCCUGAGAAGAAUGUACGUACCUCCCUCGAUAUUUUAUUUCGGGACAUCAAUCUUUUUCGCUGAACUUCUGUUGAAAAAUCAUCGAGCAAAUCUUCAGCAUCAUAGACCGCUUCUUGCAGCUUCCCGAGCCAGUCUUCAAGUUGAGCGGGUGGUUUCUGCACCUGCUCCUCAGCAUCGUGGAGGACACCCUUAAUUCUGGUAACCGUGCUCUUGACCUUGCUUAGCUGAUCCUUGACACCCCACCACAGUGCAAUCUCCUGGGUAGCUAGUGGACCCAGUUUCUUUACUAUUUCCUCCGCAAUAUUGAAGAGUACACGUUCAGCCAUUUUUAGUUCUCGGUGAGUUGAAAGGGUGUGUGUGGGAAAGAACAAAGAGGGAACAAAAGACAAGAAAAAUGAAACGAAUGGUGUUUGAUUUUGUUGGUUUGAAAGUGAUUGAGGUUUCGAUUGAAUGCUAAAAGGCUUGCGUUGUUGUGAAGAUCAAAAGUAAAAUCAUGUAUUUAUAAUAGAGCAACAGAUUCCAAAAUUUCCAAAACACUAAAGAUAUUAGAGAUUCUACAUGUACUCUCAUGAUCUCUGAAUCCCUUAACUCGUCUGCACUCAACUAGUAGUUCCUUGCUUUGGUUUAGAAAACCGUUCAAAGCAUAAUCUUUGUUCUUUACUUUAUACAUAGAGCUUCAAUUAUGGUGAAACAACGAUGGAUACCUUCCCUUUGUCAUAGGAUGCUUUAUUUUCUUUCACCGAGAUCAGUCAUGGGGUAGGCCAUUGAUUGUUAAUGCGGACCAACAAUGUCAUCAAAAGAGAUGCUGAUGCUUUCCUUUUUAUUAUUUCGUAGUUAAUUAGAACAAAUUCCAAACUCUGCAAACACUCAAGCUAUCAAGGACCUACGUGGUCUCUCUGGAUCUCCAAAUCGAUCCAUUAAUUGAUCUGCGCCCUCAACCAAUAGUUCCUUGCUUUGAUUUUAAGAAAACCAAUCGAUAUCACACUCAAGGAAUCUUUGCUGUUUUGGAGUUCUAGCCGCCAGAGUAUUUCAAAUCCCCUGUUCUUUUUUAAUUCAAUAUAUUAUAGGAAGAUUAAACAAAAUUUCUCUUGGGUUUGACCUAGUUUUCAUAAUCAUAUUAUAAAUUUAUUUUGUUUGUGAUAAUAAAGUCAGAAUUAUAUUUUGAAGUUUCCAAUAACCGAUCAAUUUGCAGAAUGUUGAUGUUAAGGUUCAAUUAAGGAUCUAACUUUGAUUUUAUUGUGUUAUCACCUUUAUCUUAUGAUCACUUUGUUGAUACCUUGUUGUAUAGAAGAGAUAGUCUUAAUUCAAAAGAUGACAAAGCUUUCAUAAACUCUAGGAAGUUGAAAAAAAAGUGUUAGAGAGUCAUAAUAAUAAUGAUCAUGCAUAUGGCUUGAUUGUGAGAGGUAGAAACAAAUAAUAAAAGUUCAAGUAUGAUUACAUUGUUUAACUUAAAGCUUAAGCAGCUGGAUGUCAAAAUAGCUUUCUACAUGGUGAGCUGGAGGAGAGGAUUUAUAUGCACCAGCCAUAGAUCAUUUGUGUGUGUUUCAUAAAGCACUCGUAAAUUUCAUUUGUGUACUUGUUGUUGUCUGUUGAUGACAUGUUUAUAAUAUCUAAAAACAUAUUUGAGAUCAACAGUUUAAAGGAUCGGUUGAGUGGUGAGUAUGAGAUGAAGGAUUUCGGUGCAACCAUAAUGAUUUUAGAUAUGAAAAUACAUAUAGAUUGAAGCAUUGGCAAGUUAUACUUGUCACAAAGAAAGUAUCUUAAGAAGGUACUUAAGUGUUUUGACAUGCAAGACUAGAAGUUAGGGAGUACUUUACUUACAAUCCAUUUUAGGUUAUCUUCGAGUUUAUCAUCUAAAAGUAAGGAGAAGAAGGAGCACAUAUCAGAUGUUUCAUAUGUUGGUGCAGUUGAAAGCAUUAUGUAUGUUAUGGUUUGCACUUGUCCAGACAUUUCACAUGUUAUUAGUGUGGUCAACAGGUUUAUGAGAAAUCCUGGUAAAAUUCACUAGUAGGCCAUGAAAUGGGUACUCCAUUAUCUUAGGGGUACUAUAUAUGUUGGCUUGGUAUAUGAUAGAGUAUUGGCACUAGAAAUAUUGUUGAGGAUUAUAUAGUUUUAAAUUAUGCUACAAAUUUAAACAUGAAGAGAUCACUAACAUAUUAUGUUUUCACUUUCUCAAGGUGUGCCAUUAGUUGAAAAUUAAUUUUACAAUCCAUUAUUGCCUUGUCUAUAACUGAGGCUAGGUAUAUAGCAUUGACAAAGGUAGUAAAAGCAACUUUAUAGCUAAGAGAUUUAGUUGGUAAUCUUGGUUUGUCACAUGAGUUAAUUAUUAUACAUUGUGAUAGUCAUGGUGCUAUUCAUCUAGCAAAAAAUCAGAUAUACCAUGAAAGGACCAAACAUAUUAAUGGCAUGUAUCACUUAAUUCUAGAUAUUAUGUCCAAGGAUGUUGUAUUAGUCAAGAAUAUUGAUAUAGUGGAGAACCCUGCAAAUAUGUUGAGAAAGCCUAUCUCUGCAAUCAAAUUCAAGCAUUGCUUGAACUUGAUUGGCUCAUGUAGUACUUGAAAGAUGCUUGGUGGGGAAGAUUAAAAAGGAGUUCUAGUUUUGUAAGUUGACUUAAUUUAAGCCAAUAUGGAGAUUUGUUGGGUUUGUCUUAAAUUAUAGCCCCCAAGUGAGAAAAAUAAUACACAUAUAAAAAUUUAUGGAGAUAAAAAUGUGGAGAUUCAGCAUUAGAUUGUACUUAAUCCAUAUAUAAAAAUCUAAGGUAGUCAUAUUUUAGGGUUAAGGGUUAUUUAUAUUGUCUUCAUUCUCAACACUUUGGUGGCUAGAGAAAAGAGAUAACAAUGUGAGUUUUGAGUUACUUUAGGAUCUUGGAUAAGAGAGCAAUUAUGGAUGACAUCUUGUAAUCUCAUACUUUCUCAUAGUGAAUUUCCUUAAUCAUCUAACUUGUGGGGUGGGCUUAAGUUACCAAACCACAUAAGUUUCUUGUGUGUUUUUAUAUGAUUGAUUGUGUUUAUUUUUUUUAUAUUUAUUUACUUGCCAAUUGAUUUGAGAUUCUAGGGCUUUUUCCGCAACAAUUUAAAUAGAAAUAAAAGGAACAAAAUAACCAGCAACAACAAUCGUAACAAAAUGAAUAGCCAAACUCAUUAAUUUGGGGAAGGAAUACUAGUAUUCCAUUUAAGCUAGGCAAUGACAUGAAUCGGUCAGAUUAAUUCAAUUUACGUGCAUGUAUUGUAAAUUUAUGGGAUGAUUUGGAAAGGAAUGCAGAGAACAGGAACAUAAAUUGCCAAAAAUGUAUUCGGCGUUUCAGUGUGUUCAAUUUUGAAUGAGUGAAAAUAAAAUUAAUAAAGAAUGGAGAGCGCAAAUCUUUUCAGACAUACAAAAAUAUUCACAAAGUUAUUUUAUUUUAUUAUUGUUAUUAUUAUAUUUUUGUCUGUGUCAUGGCAAUAAUUACAGAGCAUUGCUCAAGUUCAGAUCCUUCCACUUUAAUAUCUUCUAAAAUCAGAGACAAUAAACAUCUGCAAUGGAAACCAAUUAUAGAUAGCCCAGGUGAAAUUCCUGAAGACCAUAUAUAGACAUCAUCAGGCUUGUGAAAUUCAUUCAAUUGUAGAAGGUGCAAACCUUCAUCUUCGAGUAAUCUAAUAGACUCCCUGGAAGAGACAGAAGGGGUAAACAAAGGAAUCAAGAUUGUUUAUCUGGCCCAUCUUCACUAAAAUUCUUGUAUAACUGGGGGAAGAAACUAGAAUGCUGUGUCGAACUUAUACAAUGAGGAGGAGAUUAAGUACUUGAUUUAGUCUAAUUAACACCAGUUGUGAUGUAGAGGUUUGAUGUACACUGAUGAUUUUAACAAUCUGAGGCUGAAUCUUAAAGCAUUACCUUGCAACUCAAUGUUUAAGGUAUUAAUUUCCCCACUAAAGGAGUUGUAAUUCUGUAUGAACCUUCCACAAAGGCCUUUCACAGUUACUGACUUCAUUGGAUGAAAGCAGAUUGAUCUCACUUCAUAUUGCAAUCAAAAGUCUGGAGAAGUAAUCGAAGAUGGCGUAUAGAGAAAGUUAAGCAAGUGAAGAGUGCUUCUUACAAUUCUGUAAGUCUCAGCAAGGUAAUCAGGCACUUUGGUAAUGGACCACUCAGUUUGUUAUUCUCCAGAUGCAUUGAAAAAACAGGCAAUGGACUAGCCAGUUGCUUUAAAGGUGGCUGUCAUUUGAAGAAAUAUCCAUUCCCCAAAUUUUGGUUCAGCGUCGCUGCUCUUCUGCAUUGCAUACACUCUGCACUUCAGUGUUGUGUGGCUUUUGUAGUUCAUGCCAUAUGCAUAUGCUUAACCUUUGUGGCAUCCUCCAUUUCCCCUUUACUUGACGGUGGUACGAGUCUGGUCUACCCCAUCGUAGGUGCCUGCCUUUAGAAACUUUGGUUUCUUAUGGCCAUGACCCUUGCAAGUUUCGUUUUCGUGUUUCUUUCUGAAACUAAUAUUACAAAUUACAUUACAAUUACUAUUACUGUUUCUAAAAAAAAACUAAAGUGUAUGGCAAAGGUACCGUAGCACGAGGGAGAAAACAUUAUGGAGUGUAAUAGUGUUUCACAGUUUUUUUAUAUAUAAUAAAAAAAACUAGUCUUUUUGGCCCUUUGUUUUUAUUAUCCCUUCAUUUUAAUUCUUUUCAAUUUCUUCUUUUAAUAAUGUGUUUUUUUAAUAAUGUGUUUAUUUGGGAUUAAACCUGAUGGUAAUCAAAGAUAAUUAACUGGCUGUCAUCUGAAAUGUAAUAUCACUUGCAACUAAGAUAUUAAUCUCUGGUAGAAUCUCCCCUUUCACAUUAUUUCCUGACAGUCGCUGUCCAACAGGUCAGUAGAGUUAAUUUCUUGUAAGGAUCUUAGAACAAGUUAGAACACACACGCAUAGUCUUCUUAAUUAAGUGGAAACAUGUCUGUAGUCCAUUGUAACACAUUGUGGCAUUGCCUGUUUUAGGAGCUUUUAAAUCAAUUAUUUCUCAAGCACAUUCUUUAUCAUAAUGUUAGUCAAUGUCAGCCACAAUGGAUUGGUUUGGAACUCUGCAUACAAAUGCUGAGAUUGUAAAACUUACCAUCUUAGCUUUCUGUCUUUGCUCUAAUCUUCAGGUUUAUACUAGUCUCAGUUGCAUGUAAGAGUGGUCGAAGAGUAGGAUAUAGUUGGGUCUUGUCAGAGAGAAUGACAGAACAUAACCCAGAGUCACAUUCAUGUAGCUAAGAUUCAUAAAGAGUGUUGCUCCCAUUGGCAUUUUCUGCAACACUUUCCAUGCCUUGCAAAGAAAGCAACUAGCUGCUUUAAGUCCUGGACAACGCUCAGGUGUCUGCUAACGCGAAUAUGUAUUACAUGCCUAUCCGUAAAGACAUCAAAUAAACAUUCAAGUUUUCAUUUUGCUAUGGACAAUGGGGCCCUGUUACCAAGUUGAAGAGGAUGAAACCGAUUCUUAACAUCCCCUAUGACGAUCCCAGCAUUGAUUACCUUUUCGGAUUUAUCAAACCCAGUCCAGCCACCAUACCUGCACAAAAAAGAUGUCAAAAGGGGGCGAAAACAAAAGGUUAAACAGAAGCUGCAUUAUUCUCAACAAAAACCACAGUUUUAUUUUUUUUUUGAAAUGUAUUGAAAUAAUAUUUUUUUUAUUUUUAAAGAUUUAUUUUUGAUAUUAACAUCUAAAAAUAAAAAAAAUAAUUUAAAAUAAAAAAAUUAACUUUUUACAUAAACCCUUUCCAACCACAAAAACAAAGGACUUUAAUUAAACAAAGAGAAAGAGUAGGGAAUAAUAAUAAUAACAAAGAAAGGAAGGAAAGACGUGUUUAAAAACCUUUAUAUUUAAGAAUAGUAGCUGCAUGGUGAAAAAGCUCUAAUCAUCAAAUAUGAUAAAUUAAAUAAAUAAAUAAUACAUAGUUUUAUGGAAUGAUAGUUAUAAUAAUAAAAAUAAAAGAAAUUAAAUUAAGGAAGGAAGGAAGGAAGGAAGAGAUUAAACACCUUCAUUCAUCUAAUAAAUAAAUAAAUAAAUAAAGAGAGAGUAUGGAAUAAUAAUAAUAAAAAUAAAAAUAAAGAAAGAAAAGGAGAGGUUAAAUACCUUUCAUAUAUGUAUGUAUGAAAGAAAAGAAAAAAGUAUGUAUGUUCGGUGAAAGUGCUCUUAUACUCGUUAGUAUCUCAAUCCUUCACCCUUUACAUAGCGACCCUCCUUCUGAAUGUAAUUCCUAUCAAUUACAAUAUCUGGAAUGUGUUUAAUGUUAGGCCACCCCUCCUCGCUCUCCUUUCCCCGUCGUCUUGUUCUUCGCCUCAUCUCUUCACUGCAGUCCUCGAUUCUUAACAAUUGCAAAGAGGGAAGGUAGGGUAUCAUCCCUUGAGAUUCAGAUUCAGAUAGCGACUUCAAUUCUCUGCAGUCAGCGAUAUCUAAUUUCUGAAGAGAAUGCAUCCCCUGAUCAGGCAGUGGCAGAGACUUCAAUCUUCCGCAUCAUAGUUGUUGAAGAGAAGAGAGAUUUUGCAGCCCUACUUCCGGAAGAGAUUCCAUGUCAUCAAUUGAAUACCUAUAUAGUCUCUUCAAUUUGGAGAGAGGACGGGUAAUUGAAGAAGAAGAAGUAGAAGAGACCGGUGAUGUCAUCUUCAUUGUCUGCUGUAAUGGAGAUUACAAUAUGGUAAAAAAAUCUGCACAAGAGAUUGUGGCCAGAUUCAUCUGGAGCCAUCUCUCUAGCUCUUCAAGAAGAAGCAGAUCAUCUUCUCAUGGAGGCGGCUUUAAAUGAUGGCCAGGUACUACAAACAACUGUGCUAUUGUACUUGCUUUGUGUUUUUAUUUUCUUUAAAUGAUAAAGCUACUCUUGUUUCCAAGUAGUACUACUCUCUGUGAUUAGGAUGUGAUUGGGAAAUUACUGAACAUUACAAUGUUUAUGUGUUAUCCUUUUGUCCAUAUUUGUGAUUGACAAUUCUUCAAGAGAAGGGAUUCCAUCUAAGGGAGGGAUAUGCUUAAGUCUUCUACAAUUUCGUAGAUGAACCCUUACAAGAUUUGAGAGAUCUGAAAGCCAACUCGGAAACCUCAUACCUCCAUAGCCUUCAACUCUCAACUCUUGAAGAUUCGAAUUUGGCCGGAGGCUUUGCAACAUUUUAUCAUACAAAUCAAUAUCUGAGUCACUAUCCAGCUCUGGGUCCCACCAUACGGUCAACGACUGGAGAUAGUCUUUAUCGAUCAAUUUAGCUCCUUCAAAUUCUGAUACACAAGAACCACCCUCAUAUCCCUUUACUCUUAUUUCUAGGCUCCCUCUCAAUUCAUUUAACAUUCUCAACUCAUCCAAUCCACCUAUCAUCUCAGAUUUAGGACUCUUUUUUUUUGCAACCACAAAACAUGACAACGUCUGUAGACUAGUUAAUUUCCCAAUCCCACAAGGCAUAUACUCUAAAUUUUCACAUAAAUCUUCAUCAAGAGUGCAACCAACAUCAAGAUGCCUCAGAUUGAUCAGCUUACUAAUAUCUCUGGGUAGUGCUUUAAGGUUAUUACAAUCAUUGAGCUUGAGCACUUGUAAAUUUACCAGACUGGUGACAGAAUUAGAAAGCGCCUCCAUCUCAUUAUUCGAAAGAUCAAGAUAUUUCAGAUGCUUGAGCUUUUGAAUGAGAGGUGACACUUCCUUCAUUACAAAAUCACUCAAAACAAGCACACGUAAACACCUAAACUCUCGACAAAUAGACUCCCAUGACCCCUCAUCCCAUUUUCCACCUUGCAAUAAUACAAGUGUUCUUAGACGUUGUGCACUGGGCAAAGACAAAUCUAAUUCCGUGUCAAAUGACACGUGCCGAGUCAAUUCACUAAUCCUAUUUCCUAGACGCUCCACUUUGAUGCUCUGAAAACCAGCGACAUGGGUUGCAAGAUCAUGCAUAAAAUCAUGCAUUUUGCAACUUUCUAUGUUACCUAAAUCAUCCUUUUCCACUUCGUGAAAGAAGGACCUCCACUGUAAACUCUCAAAGCAACUAAGACCAUCAAUUUCAAGACUCCCACCACCUGAAUUUGAAGAGCUAAUGAACCCUUGUGCAAUCCAAAGUUGAAUCAAUGACUUCACAUCAAUGCUAUGACCUUUUGGGAAUAAGCUACAGUAUGCAAAGCAAUGCUUCAUAUGUGAUGGAAGAGGAUCGUAGCUUAACUUAAGGGUAUGUAUGAUGUUAUCAUCUUUGACCCUAUUUGGAAGUUCUUGUUUGAUAAAGGGCAACCACUUGGCUCUAUCUUUUAAAGACAUUAACCUCGCAAUUGCCUUUAUGACCUAAGGAACUCCCUGACACCUCUCUACAAUCUCUUCUCUAAUUCUUUCAUCUACAUGACCCGACUCCUGGCCUUGACGAAAGGCCUCUCUUCUAAACAGUUCCCAUGAAUCAUCUACUGAUAGACCUUUUAAAUCAUGUGGUUCUAUUGUGCUUGUGAAAUUUGCAAUUAAAUGAGAACGUGUAGUUACCACUAUCUUACUUCCUAAUGCAUCACGUGGUAACAACUCCUUCAAACUAUCCCAUUUUUCACCAUCAUCCUUACCAUCCCACACAUCAUCUAAUACAAGAAGAUACUUCUUUUUUUCUAUUUUCCUUUCAAGCUUUUCUUUCAGACUCUCUAACUGAUCAUCAGAAUCUCCAGUACCUACAGCCCCUUCGAUAAUCUUUCUAACAUCUAAGCUGCCUGAGACACUUACCCAGAGUCUCACACCAAAGUGCGCCUCAACUUGCUUAUCAUGGAAAACAUGUUGAGCUAGUGUGGUCUUCCCCAACCCUCCCAUUCCAACUACGGAGAUGACAGAAACAUUAUGUUCAUAGUUGGAAUUCAUCAGAAAACUUUUAACUGCCUCUUUGUCACUCUCUCUCCCAACUAUUUUUUCAGGUUCAGAUGAGGUAGUUUGCUCCCUGACAGUGGUCAAAGAAGCUCUCUCCUCACCACGAACAUCAAAGUUGAAUUUUUUACUGUCAAUUUCAAUGUCAUCUAGUCUCUCUCUAAGUGCUUUAACUCUAUGACCCAUCCGUAAACCAUACACAAAUUGGUUUGAUCUUGAGAAAAAAAGGCGUACCUCCGUCGAUACUCUUUUCCCAGACAUCAACUGUUUCCGCAGAACUUGUGUUGAGAAAUCGUCCAGCAAAUCCUCUGCAUCAUAUACAGCUUCCCGCAGCUUCUCGAGCCAGUCUUCGAUUUGAUGGUUUUGUUUCUGUUUUUGUGCCUGCUCCUCAGCAUCUUGAACCACAGCCUUGAUCCUGGUAACUGUGCCAUUGAGCUUCCGCAAUUGAUCUUUGAGCCCCCACCAUAGUGCAACCUCCUGAGCAGCUAGGGAACCUAAUGUCUUUAUUAUUUCCUCCGCAAUAUUGAAGAGCACACCUUCAGCCAUUUUUUCUUUGCAGGUUCAAAAAGGAGUGGAUGGAGGAGGGAAACACAAAAAAAGAAAGGGAAAAAAAUUAAAAGAAAAGGUGUGACUGGGUGGUGGUUGAGGUGUUUCUUGGUUUGAGCGGUGAUGAUCGGUUUGAAUGCUAGAAGAAUGUUUAUGUUGCUGUGAAGAGCGUGCGGAAAACCACAGGCUUCCGGGCUUCAUUUAUAGAGAUAAUAAGAUUCGAAAAUCUCCAAAACACUCAAAACUAUUAGAGAUUCUGCAAGUACUCUCAUGAUCUCGAAAUCCUUUAACCAAUCUGCACUCAACAAGCAGGUAUUUCUUUUCUUUGCUUUUAAAAAUCAAUCUCUAUUCCUUGCUUCAUUUUAAACAUCACACCAAUAGACUUUUGUAUGACUUAGCCUUGCUAAAAAGGGAAAGACAAAUCCAAGGGAUGUUUCAAGUAGCAAAGCCAAAUUAUUUUUUGACAUGAGAUUUCAAUUAUGUUUUACCUUUCAAAAUGAGAUUUGCGAUGCGAAUGUCUUUAGUAAUGGGCAUGCCUUACGUAAUAUAUAAUGAAAAAACGAUUACUUCCCAAGGAGAAGCUGAUGCUUUCAUUUACGUAAAGAUAAGACUAAAGCUAUAAGAAGGCCUGCAUGCACUCUCUCGAUCUCCAAAUCCCUCAACUGGUAGUACUGCUUCUAUUGCUUUGCUUUAAUGAAUCACCCGGGUCAGAAACUUUGUUCCUCCCACUUUAUUCAAAAAAUGACAUCAAUCCAGGGUUAUAGAUUUAUAUACAGUACUGAUGAAGGAAAGAUGAGGGCCAAAUUAACUUGUUAAAUGGUGAUUUUCAGUUAUGUGGAAGCAAUAAUGGAAGAUGCCUUCCCUUUUUCAAGGGCUUAUGCGUACUUGGGAUCCUACAGUAUCGGUCACUGAAACCAAUCAGAAGAAGCAAGUGCCUUUAAUGGAGGGUAUGCCCCUGGCUAGUAGUAGUGAAUGUAAAGACUUCUUCUUGAUGCCUUAUUCAUAGGUAAAGGAAAUUCCAAACUAUCCCAAAACACUCAAAGCUAUCAAAAACUCCAAAUCAAUCUCUUCAUUGGCUACGAGUUCCUUUCUUUGCUUUAAAAAAUCAAUCAUUACAAGAACCUUCAUUUGUUCUUUUGGAGUUCAGGGCUACUCGUCAUUUCAUGGACUGCUCGGAAAUCAUAAAGCUGUAGCUAGAAACAAGUUCAAUAGCUACAUAUUAAUGGCAUAUGAGCUUUAAAGGGUUGGUUUGGUGCUUAAUGAAGUUUAAUCAUUUUCUAGGUUCAAAUAUUGGAAUCAAGAUGUUUCAUGUAGGGAAGCCACAAUCUUUCAAAACGUACAUUGCUAUUAUAUCCAGCCAUAAUUAACUUGUUAGCAUAAGAUUUCAAUUAUGUUUAGGAUAAUAUUAAGAUGUUCCGUACGCUAAUGCCUUUAGUUAAAGGAUAGGCCACCAAAGCUAUAAAUCAUGGCUUCUCUUUUUCAUGGGGGCUUCGGCAUGCUUAGGGUGCUUCGUUAUCUGUUCACUGAAACAAAUCAAAAGAAGCAAAAUGCCUAGUAGUAGUGAAUAUGGACCCCCUCCCCCAACUAUAUGAUCAAAAGAGAUUUCGAUGUGCUUUACUCAGGUAAAAUAAAUUCCAAACUGUUCCAAACACUCCAGGUAUCAAAAACUCCAAAUCAAUCAUUUGAUUCAACUGCACUCAACUAGAACUUUCUUUUAGAGAAUAAUAUAAAUCAUAUCCUGGAACCUCACCUAAUAAAAGCUUAAGCUAUUGGGUUUAGAACUUUCUGUUAGAGAAUAAUAUAAAUCAUAUCCUGGAACCUCACCUAAAAGCUUAAGCUAUUGGGUUGAGAUGGUUCUUUGACAUGGUAUCAGAGCCUUGAUGACCAAGCGGUCACGAGUUCGAAUCUCACCAUCCCUAUUUAUUUGAUAAAAAUUAAGCACAAGGUAAAAUAGGUUUGUGCAAGUUUCAAGUCCAAAGGACUUUCACUUGAGAGGAUGUGUUAAAGAAUAAUAUAAAUCAUAUCCUGGGACCUCAUCUAAAAGCUUAAGCUAUUGGAUUGAGAUGGUUCUUUGAAACUUUCUUUGCUUUAAAAAAUCAAUCAGACCAUAAUCUUUGUUCUUUUAGAGUUCUAAGCAGCACGUCGUUUAGGAAUCUAAACAAAACAUCAAAAUGUUGUGAAAUUCUAUUUAUGAUUUAGCGAUAACACACAUGUCCAGAUCCCUGCACUUAAGAUGUUAACAUGGAAACAAAUAAAUAUCCACAGGCUGUUCUGUUAAUAUUCAAAAGAAGGAACAAAAUAACUCGCAACGGCAUUGCAGACUGGGUAGCAUUCAAAAAAUACUGUGAACUUCAUCAGCUUGCUUUGUAGUGAAACUCGUCAAUUGUAGAGUAUAUUAAACCUUCAUCCUCAAGUGAUCUAAUAGAUUCCCUGACCAAGACAAAAGAAAAGGCCAAUUGAAGGAAUUACUUGAUAAUGUAGAGUGAGAAGGGGAGAGAGAGGUUACCUGAUCUUCUCCAUGGGAAGUUUCAGCUGUUGGCAAAGUUCAUCCAUGUGCAUCCCUUUUUCCUGUCCACUGCAACCAAGAACCCUUCUCAACAUUCGUAAAGGAACUCAACGUGAGUUCAGUAUUAGCAGAUUAAAAUUUAAUAGCAGUCAGAAUAGUGUUUGCAAAACAUGGCUAACUAUUCCAAGCAACGCUGCAAAACUUAAUUGUCCAUAGCAGUCAGGACAAACUGCAUGUGUUUGUGAAAAAAAGAAACCAAAAGAAAAAAAUUAAUGGACUGCUCAAAAAACUAAAAACAAGUUCAGUAGCAACAGAUUAAAACAGAAAAAGAACACCUCUCCAUGACAAACAGAAAUUAAUGGACAGAGUGAUGUUUUAAACAAACAGAACUCCAAUGAAACAAGGAACUAUUCCAAAUUAGCAGCCUACAGCCGGAGGACAAAAGAGAUUGAGAACCAUAUAGAACUUGAUGUAUUAAACGCAAUCAAAGGUACUACGGUGGCACUAAGACAGGGCAAGGCAACCACAGACACCAUGAGAUUUCUAGGAGAAAGAAGCUGCGUGGAGUAAAGAGUUUAAAUGUUCCACUCACAUGCUUGAAGACUGUUGCGGACGGUCAAGGACCAAUUGAUCACAAUCCUUUAGCCCAUCAACAUCAAAUUGCUUGGACAUUGAAAAAAAGUUUAUAUUUGAAGCUGUCCCAUACCAAGUUUGAUGUGAAUGUCUGACCAUUGAUCCGCACAGGAGUGUUCAUUGAUGAUUCAACCAUACGAAGCUGAGGUGAAGCUCCACCCUGCACCUUCAGUUGAAAUAAAUUCACACAACCAACCAACAGAAAACACAAUAUGCUCUCAAAUCAUUCCGGAAACUUAAAGCGCUAUUUUUUUAAACACCACAAUAGUUAGAAUCUGGAUAAAUAAAAUAGGGGUUGUCUAAAUUUUUUUAACAAAAUAUUUAAAAUUAACGACAUGCCGCCCACCCCAAUUACAAAACAAAAAUUAAGGGCUCAGUCGAAUGGCUUGUCAAGGCAAGCCCAAGCACGGGCCCUGAUCAGGCAGUGGCAGAGACUUCAAUCUUCUGCAUCCCCAAAUCCAUAGCUGUUGAAGAGAAGAGAGAUUUUGCAGCCCUACUUCCGGAAGAGAUUCCAUGUCAU
rnacentral:lncRNA from 1 species